rnacentral:rRNA from 1 species
CCUGGUUGAUCUUGCCAGUAGUCAUAUGCUUGUCUCAAAGAUUAAGCCAUGCAAGUGAAAGUAUAUGCAUAUUUUAUAUGUAGAAACUGCGAACGGCUCAUUAAAACAGUUAUAAUCUACUUGACAUUUUUUCUAUAAGGAUAACUACGGAAAAGCUGUAGCUAAUACUUGCUUUAGCACUCUUGAUUCAUUUCUUGAGUGUGUACUUGUUAAGCCUUUUAAGAAAAAAGUUAUUAACUUAAGGAAUUAUAACAAAGAAGCGACACGUAAUGGAUCCGUCCAUUUUUAGUGUGUAUCAAUCGAGUUUCUGACCUAUCAGCUUUUGAUGUUAGGGUAUUGGCCUAACAUGGCUAUGACGGGUAACGGGGAAUUAGAGUUCGAUUCCGGAGAGGGAGCCUGAGAAAUAGCUACCACAUCUAAGGAAGGCAGCAGGCGCGUAAAUUACCCAAUUCUAAAGAAGAGAGGUAGUGACAAGAAAUAACAAUACAAGGCCAAUCUGGCUUUGUAAUUGGAAUGAUGGGAAUUUAAAACCUUCCCAAAACACAAUUGGAGGGCAAGUCUGGUGCCAGCAGCCGCGGUAAUUCCAGCUCCAAUAGCGUAUAUUAAAAUUGUUGCAGUUAAAACGCUCGUAGUUGAAUUUCAAAGAAUCGAUAUUUUAAGCAACGCUUCUAGCUUAAUCCACAUAACUGAUACUUCGUAUCGACUUUGUGCGCAUUUUGCUAUUAUGUGUUCUUUUAAUUAAAAUGAUUCUUUUUAAGGACUUUCUUUGCUUCGGCUUGGAAGUCCUUGUUACUUUGAGUAAAUUAGAGUGUUCAAAGCAAACAGAUAUAGCAUUGCGCGUUUGAAUACUACAGCAUGGAAUAACAAAAUUGAACAAGUCAGAAUUUUGUUCUUUUUUCUUAUUUUGGCUUAGUUACGAUUAAUAGGAGUAGCUUGGGGGCAUUUGUAUUCAGAUGUCAGAGGUGAAAUUCUUAGAUUUUCUGGAGACAAACAACUGCGAAAGCAUUUGCCUAAAAUACUUCCAUUAAUCAAGAACGAAAGUUAAGGGAGUGAAGACGAUCAGAUACCGUCGUAAUCUUAACCAUAAACUAUGCCGACUAGGCUUUGGAUGAAAGAUUUUAAAAUAAGAAUUUUCUCUUCGGAGUUUACUCUUAGAUUGCUUCCUUCAGUGCCUUAUGAGAAAUCAAAGUCUUUGGGUUCUGGGGCGAGUAUUCGCGCAAGCGAGAAAGUUAAAAGAAUUGACGGAAGGGCACCACCAGGCGUGGAGCUUGCGGCUUAAUUUGACUCAACACGGGAAAACUCACUAGUUUAAGACAAGAGUAGGAUUGACAGAUUAAUAGCUCUUUCUUGAUUUCUUGGAUGGUGAUGCAUGGCCGUUUUUAGUUCGUGAAUAUGAUUUGUCUGGUUAAUUCCGAUAACGAACGAGAUCUUAACCUGCUAAUUAGCGGCAAAUACGAUAUAUUCUUACGUGGGACUGAAUUCGGUUGAUUUGCUUACUUCGAAGAAAAUAUUGGGAUACGUAACAGUUUCCCUUUCCCUUUUCUACUUAGUUCGCUUUUCAUACUGUUUCUUUUUCGCGUAAGAAUGUAUUUGCUUGAUUGUAAAGCUUCUUAGAGGAACGAUGUGUGUCUAACACAAGGAAGUUUAAGGCAACAACAGGUCUGUGAUGUCCUUAGAUGAACUAGGCUGCACGCGUGCUACACUGAUAUGUAUAACGAGUU